rnacentral:rRNA from 1 species
AUUGAACGCUGGCGGCAGGCCUAACACAUGCAAGUCGAGCGGAUGAAGGGAGCUUGCUCCUGGAUUCAGCGGCGGACGGGUGAGUAAUGCCUAGGAAUCUGCCUGGUAGUGGGGGAUAACGUCCGGAAACGGGCGCUAAUACCGCAUACGUCCUGCGGGAGAAAGUGGGGGAUCUUCGGACCUCACGCUAUCAGAUGAGCCUAGGUCGGAUUAGCUAGUUGGUGGGGUAAAGGCCUACCAAGGCGACGAUCCGUAACUGGUCUGAGAGGAUGAUCAGUCACACUGGAACUGAGACACGGUCCAGACUCCUACGGGAGGCAGCAGUGGGGAAUAUUGGACAAUGGGCGAAAGCCUGGUCCAGCCAUGCCGCGUGUGUGAAGAAGGUCUUCAGAUUGUAAAGCACUUUAAGUUGGGAGGAAGGGCAGUAAGUUAAUACCUUGCUGUUUUGACGUUACCAACAGAAUAAGCACCGGCUAACUUCGUG